rnacentral:rRNA from 1 species
UACGGAGGGGGCUAGCGUUGUUCGGAAUUACUGGGCGUAAAGCGCACGUAGGCGGCUUUGUAAGUUAGAGGUGAAAGCCCGGGGCUCAACCCCGGAAUUGCCUUUAAGACUGCAUCGCUAGAAUUGUGGAGAGGUAAGUGGAAUUCCGAGUGUAGAGGUGAAAUUCGUAGAUAUUCGGAAGAACACCAGUGGCGAAGGCGACUUACUGGACACAUAUUGACGCUGAGGUGGCGAAAGCGUGGGGAGCAAACAGG